UGCAAAGUUCAACAGGCUUUAAAAUGAUUUUGCUUCCAGACAUUUUGUGUGCGAGCGUGUUCUCCCCCGAUUUACUUUUUCCGAGCUUUGUUGUGGUUUGCAGUGUAGGUUAAGACAUUUAUCACAGUAAUCCCUGAUAAUGGUGUGCCCAAUUGUGUGUUGUUAUUUAGAAAAUUAAGUGUGCUCCCGCACCCCCUUGAGCACAAGUGAACUUUUCCAAGCAAAAAAAGCUUUUGCAGGGAAAGUAAUUUUGUGCGUCUCGUCCAAUCCUUUUGCUGGAUCCAAAUUCAUGCACCCAGCCGUACAUCAUGGCAGUCAAUUAUCAUAGCUUCAUCUGAUCAUCAAUCACGGGAGAUGCUAGAAGUUAAGGGGCGGAGCAUUGGUCGACCCAUCGAUUGCAGGAGUUUUGUCUUUUCCCCCCUCGUUCACGGUCCCCUGCGCACAAAGGCCAGAGCGGACUAUUCCGUUUAAUAUUUGGCUUCAUCAAUAGACAUGCUGUCUUUUGUGCAUGUGACAUCACAUAUCGACGGUUUCACAAAAAUGGCAAAAUACGUUGUCUACGGGAUAUUUGAUUUCCAAAAUUAAACAUGAAUCACGACUUUGUCAAGACAGACAGUAUAUGUGCACUUUAUUUUUACGGACACAGGGCAUAAUAACAAUGCAACUUCAGAGGUCAAUAAAGCAAAACAAAAUGAAUGAUUAGGAUGAUGAUGAUAGUGAUAACCACUGCAAUUAAGCAGUUUGAUUAAACGAGGCAUCAUAACAACAGUGAUGUUUGUGAAAACACCCCUCAUAUAAAAAAGUAAGAUAGUGCAGCGGUUGACAAACGCCAGUGGGCAUUCCAACACGCUUCUGCCUGAGUUUACCAAGGAGUGUUGACAAUGCAAGACAUCGUCGAAAAUCCGCUCCCAAAAUACUUUUACGCAUUGUUCCCCCUCUCUUUCCCCCAUAAGAAAAAGACGUACAGCUACUGAAGAUCCAGCCGCCUUCCGAGAUGUUCUUCAAAUAGUACUCUUCUGGUAUAUUUUCUGGUUUGUGCUUGCGACUUGUCCUCCUAUAUAGCAUGGUAUCAUGAACCGUCAAUGGAGUGUCGAGAGGUACAAUAUAUGACAGAAAUUCAUAACAAGGAAGGAAAACGUAAAGGAAGACUAUAACAUUACGGAUCUGUAAUUAUUUUCGUGAUCUCGCUCUCAGAAGGGACAGGUCUGAAAGUCCCCGACACUAAACAGAGUCAACGCUUUCUUUUGUUUAAUUUUCAUUGCCUUUCAUUCUUAGCUUGUGUGAGUGUGUUUUUAUUACCGUUUCGCCGCGCAUUGUUUUCCCGGCGGAUCGUAUAAAUAUCUUCAUUUCUUCUCAGCAAAACUUUGGAGUCUUCAUUUGUUCGGGUAAAGAGGUGAUCCAAAAGAGAAUAAUCACUACCAGUCCCUCGUGCCAAGGACAGAACACAGGAGCAAAUACAGAUCUAUAGUCCGUAUUCUACUUCGAAAGUCUUCAUUUUACAGCGAAAAUGCAACCCAUCACUUCCCGACUGAAAAAAAAAGCAAAAAGUCGUUAAAAAAUGCAAAGGAAUGCCAGGUUGUUGAGUAA